CAGCCGCCGCGGGAACACGAGGGGGGCAAGCGUCGUUCGGAUUUAUUGGGCGUAAAGGGUGCGUAGGCGGUUUGGCAAGUCUCGUGUGGAAUCUAUGGGCUCAACCCAUAGCCUGCACGAGAAACUACCGGGCUUGAGUAUUGGAGAGGUGAGCGGAAUUUCUGGUGUAGCGGUGAAAUGCGUAGAUAUCAUAAGGAACACCGGUGGCGAAGGCGGUUACCUGGAAGAUUCCUGACUCUGAAACACGAAAGCCAGGGGAGCAAACGGGAUUAGAUACCCCCGUAGUCCCUGUCUCUUAUAC
rnacentral:rRNA from 1 species